rnacentral:rRNA from 1 species
GACGUAGGGUGCAAGCGUUGUCCGGAUUUAUUGGGCGUAAAGAGCUCGUAGGCGGCUUGUUGCGUCGACUGUGAAACCCGCGGCUUAACCGCGGGCUUGCAGUUGAUACGGGCAGGCUAGAGUUCGGUAGGGGGACUGGAAUGCUUGGUGUAGCAGUGAAAUGCGUAGAUAUCAAGCGGAACACCGGUGGCGAAGGCGAGUCCCUGGACAACACCUGACACUGAGGCACGAAAGCUAGGGGAGCAAACAGG